UUAGAAGGAAAAAAGAAGAGGAGGGAUAAUUACUUUAGUGUUUACAUGGCCAUGGCUUCUUGAUUCUGAAAGCGUAUCUGACUACAAGGACUGGAAUUAAUCUAAUUUUAAAGAACUGCCAGAAUAAUUGGACCCAUAAACAAUAUCACUUGAGCUGUAUACAAGGAUAAGAGUGUGCUUUCCAUACUGCCUUGGGAUCCAUUCAACUAAAGCCUCAGCCCCACAUGUGUUGAGGACACCUGGACUACUCAGCCUCUGGAAAGUCCCAUCACUACUCAUGCUACCAAAGUUCCAUCGCACUGGCCCAGCAGAACUAAGAACUUUACUGGAUGAUUGAUGCCCACCUUUGUAGUCCAGUGAAGGUUAACACAGAGUAACUCUCCUAUAGUCAUAGAUGGAAUAUGGCCAAUCUGCAGCACACUGCAUGACCCAGCUGAUGAUACUUAGGGAGUUCUCUGAUAUAGGUGGCCUGAUUAUCAAAAGCGCUGCAAGUCCAGCUGCUUGCAUUGAGGUCUCUUGUGGGUGUCGAGCAAUUUUGAAAAUGAGGCCAACUAUUUAUGUUUCUAAAGAUGGAGUUAGGAGCAUAACUUUUGAAAAGCUUAACCAAGAUUAAUUUGGCCCAUAGGUGCUUAGUCCUAUAUUACAGGAUAGGAAAAACAGCCCUUUUAAAAGUGCCUAGAUGAGGAUUUAUAAUUUAGGAAAAAGCUCUGAAGAAACAUUUGUCAGGCUAGUGUGUACAAUGCAAGUUUACAUAAUGGAAUUAAUUGCAAGGGCUCUGCUGGAAUGAUUUCAUUCAGGAGAGUUAUUUGAGGUAUUGAAAGAGGGAUUUCACAGCUGAAAGAAAGAGGAUUUUUCCUGAGACCGGUGGAAGUAAAACACAUUUAAAUUUCUUAAUACAGUGCUUCAGCCUCAGUGGGACUAUUGUUUUCAUGUCUUGAGAUUGAGGAGAUACCUUUAUUCACAAAUCUAUUCAGGAAUACCUUGAAAACAUUCAGUGCUUUCCUAACACAGGUGUUUAACAUCUACAGGUGGCAAAGGAGUACAUUUACUUGUUAAAAUGUGAGCCUAUUGAGUUACAAAGAGUUACAUAGAGGUGUGUCACAUCCCUACAAAGGUUGGGAUGUAGAAUAAACAGAAGAGGUGUUUCUAGCAUGCAAGGAGGAUUUGGGCCUUUAACAGGUCAGAUUGAAGAGACAAUAGAAAAGGUCAGAGGGUGAAAAUAGAAAAGGUCAGAGGUCAGUCACUGGGACAAGGAAAAGAAAUUGGGGGGGGUCAUUAUUUCAGCAUUCAAGGCUUUUAUUUCUGAAUGCUAAUGCUGACCUUUAAUAUGUGAGUGCAGAUUUUACAUUGGGGUUCUGCAAUAUUGUAUAUAACAUUUUAUUCUAAAAUAUGUUGAAGCAGACCUUUUAUGGUCUCUAUUGCUUAAUAUUAACACUAUGGGGCAGGGGGACAGUGUUCCUUUGGGUCCAUCUCCUACUAAUGUUCUCUUAUCCUCUGUCUUUCUGGGAGAAGGUCAUUUUUACUUCUCACUGUUUCUUUUAUGAUUGCUUUUAAUAGAUAUCCUAGUUAUUUAGAGAAAACCAAAAACAUUUUGCACAUUUGGGAUUUUGUCCUAACAAGAUUUUCUAACAUCUAACUACUGCAUAGCAUAAGAACAGUGUUGUUGAUAUCCGGCAACAGCAAGUGUGAAAUCUCUGUCUCAACAUACUUUAUAAUAAUGUUUAGAAAACAGUGUGUGAUUCCAUAUGGCUACCUCUCUCACGGAUGGCAUCUUGGCCAGUAAGCUUUGCUGAUGAUUGGAGAGCUAGCUUUAACAGACAGGAACAAAUUACAUGGCCACAGAUGCAAUAGCACGUCUGAUGUGCUGAGAAAAGGAACAGGUGGGAUGAAGGUCCCAAGGCUCCGACCAAGACUGCAGCAAAUAAACAACAGUAGAUAGUGUGACAUGUGUAAAGGGUGUGAGGCAGUACAGUUUGACAUCUUUGCCAUAAGGGCUAGCUGGGCCUGACAGCUUGUAUCUUCUCCCCGCCCCCAGCUGCAGUUGCCAUAUUGUACGAAUUCUUUCCUUAAAAUUCUGCUGAGUAUUCAGUUUGCAAACACAGCAAUCUAAGAUCUAAGCAAGCAAUACAUUUUUAGUGCAUGCUGCAAAUGUAGACACACAUUCCGCUAUUGUUACAGGAUUAAUAUUCCACUCACCACAUGGAAACUUUACCCAUUAUUAUCUAGACCUUCAUUAGACAUAUGGAAAUACAUGUUCCAAUAUAGUCAAUUCCAAGAGCUUUGUGUAUGUGUCAAUGUGUAAAGUGUGCAUUUGCCUACUGUUUCUUAGGCCAUAAUUUUCUCCAGGAGGAAAAAAAAUGUUAAACCACACUUCUUAACUAGUAGCCUAAAGUGUUCUUAUGGUCAUGGUCACACUAAAACGAUCAGAAACCAAGUUAUCCCUGCAGUAUGAGUUAAAAAAAACAACAUUAUAAUUAUGAUUGUCUUUUGGUAGCAAGGUAGGUAAUUAUACUGUGUAUUUGCGCCACUUGUAAUUCUACACAAUUUGUUCCAAAUCUGUUAUUUGACAAGUGUAGGAAAGGGAAACCAGAGGUGGAUAUUUAAGGGAGUGUCCUGGGAACUGUCAAAAGGUAAAUAAAUGUGGUGAAUCCCUCUCCCAUACGGCUGAACCAAACUUCAGAAACUGGGCUGUGUUAAAUAUGGGAUUCUUGCCAAGCAGUUGGCUGCCCAUAGUACCAUAAAGAGCCAACUUGCUUAGAAGAAAACAGUGUUAAAACGGAACCCAAGGAAACACUCUCCGUACAUGCAGAAAGUGUAUUUAUAGUUAACUUUUUCUAGGAGGGUACAAAUUCAUUAUUUAAUAUAUUAUUGUUUGAUGCAAGGGGGAAUAAGUAUUUUAGGAACUCUACUCUCCUAGCAUGGAUUUUCUUUAAAGGAUU